rnacentral:rRNA from 1 species
UACGGAGGAUGCAAGCGUUGUCCGGAUUUAUUGGGCGUAAAGCGUCCGCAGGUGGUUUUCCACGUCUGCUGUUAAAGCGCGAGGCUUAACCUCGUACAGGCAGUGGAAACUGGAUGACUAGAGUAUGGUAGGGGUAGCGGGAAUUCCCAGUGUAGCGGUGAAAUGCGUAGAUAUUGGGAAGAACACCAGCGGCGAAAGCGCGCGACUGGGCCAUUACUGACACUCAUGGACGAAAGCGAGGGGAGCGAAAGGG